rnacentral:rRNA from 1 species
GGGGGGGGGGGGGGGCGGAAAUUGUACUUUACAAAUUACCUUAAUUUACCGCCCGAACACUACAAGCGCUAGCUUAAAACCCAAAGGACUUGGCGGUACUCCAAACCCACCUAGAGGAGCCUGUUCUAUAACCGAUAAUCCGCGUUUAACCUCACCACUUCUUGCUCUUUCCGCCUAUAUACCGCCGUCGUCAGCUCACCCUGUGAGGGUUUAACAGUAAGCACAAUGACCCUUCCCCUCAACACGUCAGGUCGAGGUGUAGCGAAUGAAGUGGGAAGAAAUGGGCUACAUUCUCUUUACAGAGCACACGAAUAAAAGCAUGAAAAACUUCUUAAAGGUGGAUUUAGCAGUAAGUAGACUUUAGAACACUACACUGAAAUCGGCUCUGGAGUGCGCACACACCGCCCGUCACCCACCACGAC